UACAGAGGGGGCAAGCGUUGUCCGGAUUUACUGGGCGUACAGCGCGCGCAGGCGGUUGCGUAUGUGAGCGGUGACAUCCGCGGGCUCAACCCGCGGCGGCCCGCUUACACAGCGCGACUGGAGGCAGGGAGAGGGAUGUGGAAUACCCGGUGGAGCGGUGAAAUGCGUAGAGAUCGGGUGGAACACCAGCGGCGAAGGCGGCAUCCUGGCCCUGUACUGACGCUGAGGCGCGAUAGCGUGGGGAGCAAACAGG
rnacentral:rRNA from 1 species